AGAAAAAAUCUCGCCACCCCCAAUUACUGUCUGGCGACCACCCAGGGGUUCACGACCCCCACUUUGGGAACCCGUGCACCACAGGUUGUUUGUACAGAGAAGCUCUAUGAAACAGAGACGCUCCUCCGCAGGCUGGGCUCCGGGUUGUGUACGUCCGAAUAUCGGGACCAAUGAUCGGGUAGGAUCUGCGGCUGACUCCCGCUGCAGCCUGACAGAAGCUUCGAGACAGCACGAAGGACAGCAUGCUGAAGACAAUAGCUGUCAUCAGCCUGCUGAGGAGAGACGGCAUGCUUCUCCACUUCUCCGUGUUCUUCUCUUUACACAAGCAUUUCACAGACUACCACUUCAGGAAAACCAAGACUAGAAAUCCUAACAAUGGGCGCCAGAUCAGCUGAGCAGUGAAGGCGUGUGUCCCACUUACAGAGGCAUUAGUCUUUGUCACAGCGAUCGCUGGCCUCGACCCUUUGCUCUCUGCUUUUGAAGACAUGAAUAUAAAAUAUGUUACUUGCAGCACACUAAAGUCCAAAGAAGUGAUCCUCUGGAGAGCACAAAAAGCAGGACACAGUUUUGAUGCAAUCGAUUUAAAAGUCGCUAAAAAGUGUUUCACUUAAAACCAAAAAUGUCGACCUCAUGACUGUGUCAGAUAAACUGUCUGUCUCAUCCUCUGGGGAAAAUGAAUGUUUGUAUAAAAUGUCAUCUAAUAAAAGUUUUGCUGUAUGAAACUCCA